UUACUCCGAGGGCCAGGGUUAAGAACAUGUGGAAAUAUUUAUGUGGAGAAAUGAAUACUGGAACAAGAGCUACAAGAAUUGAAUUUUAGUGUUAUCGUCUGCCAACAAACCACGCAUCUUUGAGUAAAGCCAUGCAGCAUCCCUGGCCCAGAUUGUUAAGAAAAAAAUGAGGCUGUUCAAUUGGAUGUCUUAAAUAUGUUUUCUAGCUUAAAGGUGACGGUAUUAGAAGGUGGAGCUUUGGGAGGUGCUGAAGUCUCUAGGGUGAAGCCCUGAUGAAUGGGAUUAGUGCCUUAUAAAAGGGGCUUCACAGAGCCCCCCUCCCUCCCUGCCGUGUCGGGAUCCGAUCAGAUGCCUGACACCUGGAAGAAGGCCUUCGCUGACAGUGCUGGCGCCUUGAACUCGAACUCCCAGUCUCCAGAACGAGUGUGACUCCCACUGCGUCAGCUGUUCAGUUGGAGAAAGGCCACUCAAUUAUCCAGCCACAAUAUACAACGUAAUUGACAAUCAUCCUUGGGCUGAGACAUUUUCUCCUUGGAGACUCCCCUGAUUGAAGUUGGGCUACGUACACAUACUGAAGGUCUCUGGAUUCCCUGGCAACCUAGGAAAUCGAACUCCCUGGCCUUGGGUCACUUAGCCUUGUCCUCAGAGACGAUGCCGGCCAAAACCGUGAAAGAG